rnacentral:rRNA from 1 species
GACAGAGGGUGCAAACGUUGUUCGGAAUUACUGGGUGUAAAGCGCGCGUAGGCAGCAGCGUGUGUCGGGCGUGAAAUCCCACGGCUCAACCGUGGAAGUGCACUCGAAACUGCGCAGCUAGAGUCUCGGAGAGGAAGGCGGAAUGCUUGGUGUAGAGGUGAAAUUCGUAGAUAUCAAGCGGAACACCGGUGGCGAAGGCGGCCUUCUGGACGAUGACUGACGCUGAAGCGCGAAAGCGUGGGGAGCAAACAGG